rnacentral:misc_RNA from 1 species
GAUAAUUCUUAGCUUGAGCUAAAGGAGUUGGAAGACAGAACGACGGGUAAAAAUAAUUGUGGGGGCACAUUUGGAGCUGCAAAAAGUAACAAGUUUGUUUAUUGGAGAGAGAGACAGAGAGUGCAUGUGAAAAUCAUAGCAAAAUGAAAAGCUUGACAAUCCUUUAACAGUAGUGAGAAAUGCCAAAAUUAAUUUUCAGUCUGUGGAACAACCAUCUCUUGAACAACAAAAUUUUCCUCUGUUCCAUAACUUUUAUUUUUCAAUCUAAUAUAAGAUAUGUUACAAUAACAAUAAGAAGGUUCACAUGGUUUGGAAGCUCAAACGGUGGUAUUAAUUAUGACGCAAACGACUGCCUAUGAGGAUGAGCUCCGGCCUGAUAAAGAGUGAGAUGGUGUAUAGCCUUAGCAAGCAAAUCCCUCAACUCAGGAUGUUGAGCUAUCACAGGACGAGCUGCUCCUUCAAGAGCAUUCAAUGCCCUCACUUGUUCAAGGGCCUUGCUAUUCCCAGAAUUCAGGGCAAGGUAACAUAGUAAUACUAGGCCAUGCAUUCGAGCUCGAUCACCAUUCCUUAUCAAUUUCAUCAAAGGCUGAACCCCAUCAAACUCUAUAAUUGCUUUUGAAUGUUGAGAGCAAUUGAAAUUAUCAGGAGACACAAAUUUCCCCAAGGAAAUAGCUACUUCAGUUGCAACAUCCACAUUUCUAUUACCAAGCUGGGCAACUAAAGGGGCAAUUAUCCUGGUCUCCCUAGCAGGGAAAGUUCGAGCUAAGCACCCAAUUGAUCUAAUAGCAGGAAUCUGCAACUUCGGAUCACUUUCUUCCUGAAUUACUCUUAAAAGCUGAUUCAAAACUGCCUUGGCAGGAGGCCAAUUGGUCUUAAAAGCUGCACGUCUAAGAUCAUCAUUGGAUUCUGCCACUGCUACAAUCUCCGAAACCGUCAUCAAGCAAUUUAACUGCAACUCCCCUUUUUCAUGUUCAAUAAUCUUGGCCAAGCAAAGCAGGCCUUUGGUCUCUGUAAUCUUCCUACUAUUGGAUACACUCCCUUUAGACAAUUUCCAUAAUGCCAGUGCGCAACUAACCUUAAGCUUAAGCCGCACCUCAGGUGUUUCCAUCUCCCUUUCCUUUCUGUGGUGCGAAUUACCAUCAGAAGAAUGACCAUUGUUGUAUCUUAUAUUAUUAUAAGACAAUUCUUUAUUCAUUUGCACAAGCGAAUGAAUACUUGUUUUAGCAGACUGAUUUUUGGCAACGUCCAAAUCCAAGUCAAUGGAUAACAGAGAUACCAAAGGCCGAUUCACGGUCUCUCUCAUGAACUCCUCCUGCGCAAAUGGGUCAAGUUCCGCCAUGCUGGCCACUAAAUUCGCAACCACAAUCUGAACCUUCAUCGGAGAAUCCCCUAAAACACCCACAAUGAUAGGGACCCCAAGACAAACCACAAUCAACCUAACUCUCUCCUGGUCAGUGGCGAUAUUGAAGAGGGCAUUUGCAGCAGCAAUUUGCGCCUCAGGAGAGGGACCUUCCUUAAGCAACUUCAAACAGGGCAAAAUCCCUCCUUCCUUCACUAUCAUCUUCUUGUUCCUAUCGCUAUCCCGAGCUAGAGAGGCGAGCUCGUUAGCCGCAUCAACGCGGUCUUUCGGCUGGCCCAUCUGGAUAGUCGAUAUAUGAGACCAGACCCAAGCUAGAAUAGGAUCGUUACUAGCAAUUGGAGGGAGGGACAGAUAAGUACCUCCAUCGGACUCGAAAAUCGACAGAAGCCAUUUCAUAUCGCCGAUGGAAGACUCCAGAAGGUUGGAGACCUUGCGAAAGUCAGCAGUAGAGAUGAUGGAGAAGACAUGGCGGAGAACGCCGCUGUGCUUGCACUUACGAACAAGGGUGAGGGCACGAUCGAGGUUCUUGGAGAUGUCGGAAGCAAUAAGGAGGAGAGGGCGGUCGUAGAUGGAAGGAGUGGUGGAGACGAGGCGGACGGUGGAUCGUAGCAACUGGGAGAGGCGUUCCACUUGUUUAGCAAGGUCGGAGCAAUCCUGUUUGAACGAUUCUGCUUCUUGGGCCGAAUUGAUCACUCGAUCUGCAAGUAAAAUUGGGAUAGUCAGCUCUUGGAGAGUCUUCUCUUCUUCACGGCUAGACACUGUAGCGGCAACGGCCAUUUUUUAAAAAUGUUUUCUGGCUCUAUUACUAAUGAUUAACCGACAUACAUGAAGCACCUCUUACUUUAUGUUAGAUUUGAGCAAUCUGGAAGUUACUGAUGAGUAGAGUUUUGCUUCUGUCAGAUGGUCGAAAUAUGUGAAAGGCAAGGUGAGUGGUAGUGAUUUGAGAUAUUAUUUAUUUAAUUUGGGAAAUGAUCCUGGUGAUGGCUUUGUCUGUGUGCAAGAAAGAUGAACAGAAGAGGUGGAUGACAGUUGACUAAUCAAUUAUUUAGAUAAGGAUGCGGAAGAGGAUGGAGAAAAUUCUUAUGUCGACUGACGCUGAGGAAAUGCCAACCCCGAAAUCAAUUUUAG